GUUCCAAAGUUCAAAAUAUUUGUUAGAACGAUAAAAAUGAGUAAAAUUUCUUUAUACUUGCUCACAUUAGUGAAAGUAAAAAAUAGAAUUCCGUGAAAACGAUAUUGAACGGGAUUGGAAGGUGAAGCGAACUUAAUAUUGUUAUCAACAAAGUUAAUCGAUAUGAACGCUUGUCACGUGAUCUUCAGCUCUGACGUCACGCUUUACGAUUUGUUUUGUGUUCAGCAUGUUAUAUCUCCUACUAAAAACAUAAUAUUGUCGUCAAAAGUCACGUUACUGAUUCAAUUUAGGAUCUCAGAGAAUGAAGGAUCUCAAUUUUUCACAAAAGAGGUACCUCUCAGAAAAACCAAGACAGACCAGUGACUAAGAUGUGUAACUGUGUGUUA